rnacentral:rRNA from 1 species
UACGGAGGGGGCAAGCGUUGUUCGGAAUUACGUGGGCGUAAAGGGCGCGCAGGCGGCUGCUCAAGUCAGGACGUGAAAGGCCUGGGCUCAACCCGGGAAUUGCGCUUGAGAACUGGGCUGGCUAGAGUCCGGAAGAGGAGAGUGGAAUUCCCGGUGUAGCGGUGAAAUGCGCAGAUAUCGGGAAGAACACCCGUGGCCGAAGGCGGCUCUCGUGGGACGGUACUGGACGGCUGAGACGGCGAAAAGCG